UGCGUAGGCGGAAUGAUAAGUUAGUGGUGAAAGCCCCCGGCUCAACCGGGGAACUGCCAUUAAUACUGUCAUUCUUGAGUAUAGUUGAAGUGGGCGGAAUGUAUCAUGUAGCGGUGAAAUGCUUUGAUAUGAUACAGAACACCGAUAGCGUAGGCAGCUUGCUAAACUAUAACUGACGCUCAGGCACGAAAGCGUGGGGAGCAAACAGGAUUAGAUACCCUGGUAGUCC
rnacentral:rRNA from 1 species